CAGCCGCCGCGGUAAUACGUAGGUGGCAAGCGUUGUCCGGAAUUAUUGGGCGUAAAGGGCUCGCAGGCGGUUUCUUAAGUCUGAUGUGAAAGCCCCCGGCUCAACCGGGGAGGGUCAUUGGAAACUGGGAAACUUGAGUGCAGAAGAGGAGAGUGGAAUUCCACGUGUAGCGGUAAAAUGCGUAGAGAUGUGGAGGAACACCAGUGGCGAAGGCGACUCUCUGGUCUGUAACUGACGCUGAGGAGCGAAAGCGUGGGGAGCAAACAGGAUUAGAUACCCCAGUAGUCCCUGUCUCUUAUAC
rnacentral:rRNA from 1 species